GCUUUGCAUUCUGAACUGGCUUGAGCCCUUUUUACAGAAACUUCCCUCUCCUGUCACUCAACUUAUCAGAAUCAAUUAAUAAUCCCUAAUAUUCCCAAUAAUCCCCAUUUGGAAUGGGUUGCAGCAUUUCCUUAUUGUUGGAGUUCCCUUUGUAAGCAUCCGUGGCAAACUUGCUGUUAUUCCCAAGUGACUAUAAAGACGGCUCCUUCUUGUGUUCAAUGGCUUCUCGUUCUUAUGUAGAAUCCAUAGGAAAUGAGGUUCCUAAAACUGGGUGACUCACAGAGCUCUGUGAAUUGUACACCAAAUCGCAAAGCCUAGAAUGAAACUAUUGUCGCCACUUGACCAACUGACCAUCGGAAUGGUUUAGAUUGUCCAUAUGAGCAAGUCAGGGAAAGAAAACCCAGAUUUCCUUCCCUUCCUCAAGAAUACUUUGGUUCUGAAGAUUGGCUUAAAAUGUCACAGAACUGGGAACAGGGACCCCGUUUAGGUAAAGGUGUAUUUAGAUACUGUGGCAAAAGAAACGAUGAAAGGAAACAUUUCAGAGAAACUCAGGAAGGUUGAUAUGAACUGAUGUGGGGUGAAACUGGCAAGGAGAAAAACUUUUUCAGGAACAAGAACAUCGUAAAGACAAACAUCUUUGAAAGACUUAAGAAUUCUGAUCAAUAUAAUGACCAGGGAUGGUUUCCAAAGACCAGUGAUGAAACAUACGACCCCCUUCUUGACAGAGAGAUGAGAGAUACGAAGUGCAGAAUGACAUCUAUUUUUGACAUGCCCAAUAUGAAAAUUCCUCUUCUCCCCAAUCCAUUCUGCUUGAACAAAACAAACUUACCUCUCAACCAGUGCAUCAGCCUUGAAGAAAAAACCCUAAUCCAGGAAUUGUUCUGGAACACACACACAUAUAUACUUACUUAUAGGUGGAUGUGAGUAUGUAUUUUGGAAUCAAGGAAAGGGCUGCGUAUCAUCAGCACCAUUUAUUUCUCUGUAACGGCUAAUCAACUAAUAGUGUAGCAAAUUUCUGGACUAUAAAGAGCAACUUCUCUAGUUCUCGGGGCAUUCCGGCCUGUUGGGCUGGCAGCCAAGUACAAAGGAGUUCAAAGCAAACUGAGAACUGGCCAGCCUCCCCCUCUCCCCCUUCCCACCAACCCAAAGCUAGAGUUGUUUUGGCACAUGUCAACCAUCAAUUGACAAGCCAGGGAAAGCCUGAACUUGGAGCUAGCCCAGAGCGUUAAGGCACAUAGUCUGGUCAGAGAUGAAACCCAAGAGCGUGGGCAAACUUGGCAUCCGACCCCGGCCCAGCCUGCCCCCUGAACCGGUGCUAUCUUUUGUCUUUGUGCCCACCAGCGCUGGAGAGAAGCACAAGAAACCAAAAGCAGCCUUUUGCUCCCAUUUUCUGGCGGCUCUCGCACGGUCUUCGCCCCCUUUUCCACAAAGGAAGUCCUCCCCAGCCCACACAGCUGAGAGAACCAGCAUCAACUGGAUAAAACUGAGGAAACAACAACACAGCUCGGUCUUUAUGGCCGGCAGAGAAAAAAAGAAAAAGAAAAAGAAGGGUCGCUGAGACCAGGAGGCAAAGUCCCGGCAGGACCCCGGGGAUCAGAUUUCCGCUCCGCUCCAGCUGGAACAUCCUUUCUCCUGCACGUGGAAGGGUGGAGCAGGAUAGAGCCGCGAGGGGGAACCCUGGGAAGAACAAAGAACGUGGUCCCUCCACCCAGGGAGAGUCUGAAGGCCGGCGUGGGACGAGUUUUGGAGUCACGGAAGUGGUUACUCCCUGGGGGGCGUUGUCUGCAGGCUGGAGACUGGUCCUCUGGAGGGAAGCCUUUUCUGCCCUCGCGGAAGGCUCACCUUUACAUGACCAACAUCACUGGAAGAAUGAGUAGCAUAUUUGAAAUCUCCAUGUAAAAUGCCAAGAAAUCUCACCUUCAUUAGGAGGCAGUGGGAGUUCUCGUGGGGGGAUGCAUUGUUUCCGAAACUCCCCUAACUCCUUUAAUUUAACCCUUUUCUUUCCAGUCAACACAAUGUUCCUCAUGACAUGCUGCCAUUUUGUUCCGAAACCAGUGGAGGAAAACAAAUGUGUGUUUCUACUCCAUUUUUCCCCUUCUCUGCAUUGUUUCUUUUUAUGGAGAGAGUCACUGGACCAGGGUGAAGGGAUUUCAAAAGCAAUGCAAUAACAUUUGAGGGUGGGCAGAAUUUUUAGCAUUACUGCUCGUAAUAAAAAAAAAUAGCAAAUGGUUAGAGAAAUGGCA
ensembl:lncRNA